GCAUCAGUGGUCUAACGGUUAUGAUCCGGUCUUCCCAUUGCUUCAAAUGUGGCCGGGAAAGGGGUUCGACUCCCCUCUGAUGCA